CCAUACAGCUUGGAGUACAAGGAUUGUGUGGCUUAAGGUUACAGCGUUGGUCUUUCAGUCUAUCGACCAGUUCAUCCGCUGGCGGCAUCCGGUGGUCUUGGUGGAGGCUGACGACGGGAUGGAUUUCCCAUUCUGCGAGUUGAUCAGUGAGUCCAUCGUUGAUUGGAAGUGUGGAAAGUCUCUCAACAAACAGAGGAGCAAAUAUGCCUCAUCACAGCAUUAUGAGAAGAUGGUUUUUGGCGAAAAAUUCGUGCAUUCCUUUCACUGCAUACAUGGCAGACUGUAGAAGAAAGAGCAAUUUUGCACAUUUUACACCAUGGUAAGUGACCCUUCCAAUGCUCGACACAUGGUCCGAAUGAAGCUCCAAAUGGAGAAGAACAAGCAUGAAUGGCUCUCUGCUAUGGAUUUUGAAUAUUGAGAAAAGAAGUGCUGCCUUUGUCCACCGUUGGAAGCUUUGAUUGAAAUCACCAUUGGAAGCCAUCCAAAGUGAGAGAUAUUGUCUUGGGAUCUCUUUGGACUUCCUGAUCAGGUUGAACCAGAGGAUAUUUGGGAAUUGACCAAGGAUAUGGGAGAUAGUGUGUUUGAAUGAGUAAUUCCCAGAGGGAGAGGCAAGUCAUUGGAAUGUGUCACUGUUCGUGGUUGUGGUGGUGGAAGGUGGAGAAGCUCGGGGAAAACAAGAGUAAUGGAAUGUGGAAAGGACCAGGCACCUCCAUGAAUGAAGUGGCUGACCUUGGUUUCGACCCUUGCUUGUCUAGCAUGCUUUGCUUUGCUACUUGGAGAAAAAUACAUCCCAUGGUGACUUAACUGUUGCAGAAUCUUCCUCCAACUCCAUGAGCAAGACUACAGAAUCUUCAAUUCCGAAAGUUAAGAGUCUUUAAUCAGUGGUACAAGUUAAUGACGCUCCCAGAAAACCACGGAUUCUACUUGCUGCCAGUGUAAGUGUAGCAGCAAUAAAGUUUGGAAACAUUUUUCUGAUUGGGCAGAAGUAAGAGCAGUUGCAACGAAGGCUUCUUUACAUUUCAUUGACAGAGCAUCACUUCCUAAGGAUGUAAUUCUUUACACGGAUGAGGAUGAAUGGUCCACUUGGUCGAAGAUAGGUGAUAGCCUCCUUCAUAUUGAGCUCCACAGUUGGGCUGAUAUCAUGGUUAUUGCCCCAGGCAAGAUCUGCAGAUUUAUGGAGAAAACCACGAGGCCCAACUGGAUAUUUAAGAAACACAAGGUUGAUAAAGAAGGGCUCUGUUUGAAGGAUAAAAUUAGUGGUCUUCCUGAUGAAGUCCUUGUUUCAAUAUUGUCACUAUGGACAAUGAAAGAAGCUGCAAGAACUAGUCUGCUAUCAAAGAGAUGGAGGUAUAUGUGGACUUACAUUAAAGGUUUGAACUUUGAUGCUUUACAUAUUAUAUAUGAAGUGCUACGGGGAGAUAAGGAACUUGAAGUAGAAAGGUCUUUGUAUUUGAGUUGAGUAAAUCAAGUCUUGAAACUGUACAAUGGUCCAACUAUAGAUGAAUUCAGAGUUCAAUUUGAUUUUGAUGAAAGUUGUAAAUUUGAUAUUGAAAAUUGGGUUAA